AACGAACGCUGGCGGCGUGGAUUAGGCAUGCAAGUCGAACGCGAAAGAGGGGGAAACCCCUUUAGUAGAGUGGCGAACGGGUGAGUAACGCGUGAAGAACCUGCCUUCAACAGGGGGAUAACACUCCCAACGGGGUGCUAAUACCGCAUGAGACCACGGAGCUGCAUGGCUCUGAGGUCAAAGGUGGCCUCUAUUUAUAAGCUACCGGUUGAAGAUGGCUUCGCGUCCCAUUAGCAGUUGGCGGUGUAAAGACCACCAAGGCGACGAUGGGUAGCUGGUCUGAGAGGAUGGUCAGCCACACUGGGACUGAGAUACGGCCCAGACUCCUACGGGAGGCAGCAGGUCGAGAGGCUCCGGCAAGUGGGGGAAACCCUGACCGAGCGACGCCGCGUGAGGAUGAAGGCCCUUGGGUUGUAAACUCCUUUUGUCAGCGAAGAAAUGCGAUCAGGUUAAUAAUC
rnacentral:rRNA from 1 species